rnacentral:rRNA from 1 species
GGGCCCGCACAAGCGGUGGAGUAUGUGGUUUAAUUCGACGCAACGCGAAGAACCUUACCAAGGCUUGACAUGGAAUUGAACGGCGCAGAAAUGUGUCUUUUCUUCGGAACAAUUCACACAGGUGGUGCAUGGUUGUCGUCAGCUCGUGUCGUGAGAUGUUGGGUUAAGUCCCGCAACGAGCGCAACCCUUGCCAUUAGUAGCCAUCAUUAAGUUGGGCACUCUAAUGGGACUGCCGCGGAUAACGCGGAGGAAGGCGGGGAUGACGUCAAAUCAUCAUGCCCCUUAUGUCUUGGGCUACACACGUACUACAAUGGAUGAGAACAAAGCGAAGCCAAGUGGCAACACUGAGCAAAUCGCAAAAAGCAUUCCCAGUUCGGAUCGUGGGCUGCAACCGCCCGCGUGAAGUUGGAAUCGCUAGUAAUCGCGGAUCAGCAUGCCG